rnacentral:rRNA from 1 species
UACGUAGGUGGCAAGCGUUGUCCGGAAUUAUUGGGCGUAAAGCGCGCGCAGGCGGUUUCUUAAGUCUGAUGUGAAAGCCCACGGCUCAACCGUGGAGGGUCAUUGGAAACUGGGGAACUUGAGUGCAGAAGAGAAGAGCGGAAUUCCACGUGUAGCGGUGAAAUGCGUAGGGAUGUGGAGGAACACCAGUGGCGAAGGCGGCUCUUUGGUCUGUAACUGACGCUGAGGCGCGAAAGCUAGGGGAGCAAACAGG